CAACACUUCCUCUUAUUACUCUUCACUAACAUAUCAAAACAUACCAUACUUAAGGUUUUGGUAACAUUUACAAAACAUACCAAAAUAUCACUUAACAACUUAGAUACUUUCAAAAUGACCAAAAGACAUCCUAGGUACAAUGCAAUUUUCCAAAAAGAUAGAAACUUCACCAAUUUGAGUUCGGGGAUCGGCUUGUAUGCUGAGUCCUUAUACUUUCGUACCUAGACUGCGCACGGAAACAAACCAUAUGCUGAGAAUACUCUCAGUGGUAUUUCUAUAAACAAUAGCUUAAUCAACUUUAAAACAUGGUAAUUCAAACACAUUAUUGCUAUUAUUCAAUAUCAAUCAGUACUUUAAUAAUCUUUACUUUAUUUACCCUUAUUAACAUGACUCGGACACUAAUGGAUACACGGAUCCAACCCACACUCCGGGAUAAGCACAUAGUGCUUCAUCGAAACAAAUCUGGAACUUUAACAUUAUAGUACACAAAGUACUUCAUCGGAACAAAUCCGAAACUUUAACAGUAGUCGACACAUAGUGUCUCAUCGACUCAAUGCCGGAAUAUCCCAAUACUUCCAAUUCCUAUGACAUGUCAACUAUAUCCGACUAGCCCGACACUGUUAAUAGGGUAUUCAAAAUCACAUUCAUUUCAAUAUGGUAAAAAUACUUACCUCAUUCACAUUUUCAUACAAUAUAAAUAUUAAAUAUAACAAUAACGAUUAAGCUCGGUUUAUAGAAAUACAAACCACUAUUUAUCGAAUUUAAUCGAUAUCUUCGUUCACUUUCUCUUUUCUCUUCUUUGAUGACGUAUCCGGUGCUACGUUUGCUACUAACAAUCAUACAAUUAAAAAUCAUCAAUAUACUAAUUCAUAGAACACAUUUUCACUUUCUAUCAAACUUUUACAAAAAUUCCAAUUUCGUCCUUUUUCCAUUACUAAUCUUUUUUCUUUAACUUAAGCUUCAUAUUCUCUUUUAAUCAACUCAUUAAUAAUUUCUAACUCAUAAAAUUCAUUAUAAAACAUAAAUUUUGAGCUCUAUUCAACUUAAUCCCUAUUUAAACCUAACUUAGAAUUCUUUUAAUAAAUCACUCAAUUUUCACUUCUAACUUCAAUUUCUAUCAAUUUAACCCAUAAAACCUCAAUUUAUUCAACUAAAUCAAUAUCUAAAAAUUUUCUAUUUUUCUUCAUUUUAACCUCAUACAUGUAGAACUUUGAAUUAGGCAUCCAUAAACAUAAAAAUUAUAAGAAAAUAAGCUAAAACAUCUUACCAAUCAAGCUUUAGGGCUUUAAUCCUCAAAUUUCCCUUUUCUAUUUCUUUCUUUCUUUCUUUCUCACGUUUGCUCUCUGUAACUCUUUCUAUCUUUCUUUCUUUUUUUUUUACUUACUCAUAAAUCUAUAUUCAAUAUAAUAAUAUUAAUAAUAUAAUAUUAUUCUAAUAAAAUAACUUAAUCUAUAAGAAAAACUACUUUAACACAUUUAAUAUCUUUACCAACUAUUACACAUGUUAUAUCAUACAUUCACACACAUGGCACUUAGGGUCUAAUUGCUAGAUUAGUCCCUUUACCAAUCUUUAAUCUAUAAUUAAACUUUUAUACCGUAUGCAAUUUAGUCCUUUAAACUAAAUUCAAGCUACUUCACUUAAUUAAACACUAAAUAACCAUUCAACUAUAAUUCAUAAAUAUUUCUAAUAAAUAUUCAUGAAUUAAUUUCACGGAAACAGUACUCAAGACUCAAUUUUCGAUACCGUAACUUUCGGUUCAUUACAAUUCUCUCCCCCUUAAUAAAUUUCGUCCUCGAAAUUUACCUGAAAAGAGAUGGGGGUAUUGAGAUCUCAUCGUUUCUUAUGGUUCCCAUGUAGCUUCUUCAACACUGUGACUUCGCCAUAGCAUAUUUACUAAAGGAAUACGUUUAUUACGUAAUUCUUUUACCUCUCGUGCUAGAAUCUCAACUGGUUCUUCUUCAUACGAUAAGUCAGGUUGAAUCUCUACAUUCUCGGUCGUAAUAACAUGUGAAGGAUCGAUCGAUAUCUUCUUAGCAUAGAAACAUGGAAGAUAUCGUGCAUUUUCUGUAGUUCAGGAGGUAAGGCCAAUCGAUACGCUACUGGUCCAAUUCUCUCAAUAACUUCGUAAGGCUCAAUAAAACGAGGACUUAAUUUUCCUUUUUGACCAAAUCUUAGAAUUUUCUUCCAAGGUGAAACCUUUAAAAAUACUUUAUCCCCGACUGAGUAUUCAAUAUCCCGUCGUUUCAAAUCUGCAUACGAUUUCUGUCUAUCAAAAGCAGUUUUCAAUCUUUCCCGAAUUUUCUUAACUGUACUUUCCAUUUCUUGAACCAAUUCAGGUCCAAUCAUCUUCUUCUCAUUCAGUUCUGUCCAACAUACGGGUGAUCGGCAUCUUCGUCCAUACAAAGCCUCAUACGGUGCCAUCUGUAUACUUGACUAGAAACUAUUAUUAUAUAAAAAUUCGGCUAAUGACAAAUAAUAUUCCCAGUUAGACUCAAAAUCAAUCAUACAGGCUCGAAGCAUAUCUUCUAAAAUUUGUGUUACCCGUUCAGAUUGACCAUCAGUCUGUGGAUGAAAAGCUGUACUAAAGUGAAGUCGAGUACCGAAAGAUUCAUGUAAUUGCUUCCAAAACCUUGACGUAAACCUUGGAUCUCUGUUAGAAAUUACUGAUUUUGGAAUACCAUGUAAUCUAAUGAUUUCCUGAACAUAAACCUCAACAAGUUUCUUUAACGACCAAUCGGUUCUCACAGCUAAGAAAUGAGCUGACUUCGUAAGUCGAUCAACUAUUACCCAAAUAGCAUUCUUUUUACUUGUAGACGUCGGUAAUCUCGUUACAAAGUCUAUCAUUAUUCGGUCCCAUUUCCAUUCAGGAAUAUUGAUAGGUUGAAGUAAUCCUGAUGGAACUUGAUGUUCUGCCCUCACUCGUUGACAAGUCAAACACUUUGCCACAUAUUCAGUUAUAUCAUUUUUCAUUCCCGACCACCAAUACAAUUCACGCAAAUCACGAUACAUUUUCAUACCUCCAGGAUGAAAUGCAAAUGGACUAUUAUGAGCUUCUCGAAGAAUUAACUCUUUCAACUCAGAAUUAUCUGAAAUGCAAAGUUGAUUCUGAAAUCUUAGACAACCAUUUCCAUCAAUGCUAAAAUUUUCUGUUGUACCAUUCCGAAUCAUCUCCCUUUUCUUUAACAACUUAUCAUCUUCUAACUGUGCUGAUCUGAUUCGAUCAAACAUUACUGGCUUUAUUCUUAAUUCAGUCAAAAGACUUCCAUCUUCAGUGAUACUAAGUUGUGCAAACAUUGCUCGUAAUUCAAUCGCAGCUUUUCUACUCAGUGCGUCGGCUACUACAUUAGCCUUCCCUGGAUGAUAGUCUAUGACACAAUCAUAGUCUUUCAGAAGCUCUAUCCAACGCCUUUGUCUCAGAUUCAAUUCUUUUGCGAAAGCAGAUAUUUCAAACUUUUAUGAUUCGUAUAAACAUAGCACUUUUCACCAUAAAGAUAGUGCCUCCAAAUCUUCAAGGUAAAAAUUACAGCUGCUAAUUCUAAAUCAUGAGUUGGAUAGUUGCGUUCAUGCGGUUUCAGUUGCCGUGAAGCAUAAGCAAUGACUUUCCUGUUCUGCAUCAGUACACAUCCCAGUCCACUCAAUGAAGCAUCACUGUACACUACAAAAUCUCUUUCUGAUUCUGGUAAAGUCAACAUCGGUGCCUCUGUUAACAUUCGUUUUAAUGCUUCAAAACUUUUCUGACAUUGCUCAUUCCAAACAAAUGGAAUAUUCUUCUGUAGUAGCGUGGUCAUCGGUAAGGCUAUCUUUGAAAAUUCGUUGACGAAUCUUCGAUAGUAACCAGUUAAUCCGAGAAAACUUCGUACCUCUGAUACAUUCUUAGGAACUUUCCACAGAAUAACUGCUUCAAUCUUCUUUGGAUCCACUCUAAUUCCAUCCGCUGAUACGACAUGUCCAAGAAACACAACUUCUGAUAACCAGAAUUCACACUUGCUUAAUUUUCCAUACAAUUACUUUUCUCGUAGUAUUUGCAAAAUAAUCCGGAGAUGUUGCCCAUGAUCUUUUUCUGACUUGGAAUACACCAAAAUAUCGUCGAUAAAAACUAUUACGAACUGAUCCAAGUAUGGCUGAAAAAUCUGAUUCAUAAGAUCCAUAAAAGUAGCAGGGGCAUUUGUUAGUCCAAAUGGCAUUACUAAGAAUUCAUAAUGCCCAUACCUCGUACGAAAUGCCGUUUUCAAUAUGUCGCACUCUUUUACUUUCAACUGAUAGUAUCCCAACCUCAGAUCAGUCUUUGAAAAUACGGAAGCUCCUUUCAGUUGAUCAAACAAAUCAUCUAUUCGGGGAAGUGGAUACUUGUUCUUGACAGUCAAUUUGUUGAGUUGUCGAUAAUCAAUGCACAACCGCAUCGACCCAUCUUUCUUCUUAACAAAUAACAUUGGAGAUCCCCAUGGUGAUGUACUAGGUCGUAUAAAACCUCUGUCCAAUAAGUCUUGCAAUUGUAUUUUUAAUUCCUUUAGCUCAGUAGGUGCCAUACGGUACGGAGGUAUCGAUACCGGAUCUGUACCUGGGUAGACUUCAAUCACAAAUUCUACCUCUCGAUCAGGGGGUAAUCUAGGUAAUUCCUCAGGGAAUAAAUCAGAAAAUUCACAUACAGUCCGAAUUUUACUACACUGACUUUCAACUGAAUCCGAAUUAAUCACAUAUGCUAAGAAAUCAUUACAACCUCGAUAAAGAAGCUUGCUAGCUUUAAUGGCCGAAACAAUACGAAUUGAUCCAUUAGUUCGAAUACCAUUUACUUCAAUCGUAUCUUCACUUUUAUUCUGAACAAUAAACUUCUUUUUAUAACAGUCUAAAAUCACUCCAUGUUCUGAUAACCAGUCCAUUCCCAAAAUAACAUCAAAGUUUCCAAAUGGCAUAAUAAAAAAAUCAACAUGGAAUAUUCUAUCUUGAAUCAUUAACGAACAUCUUCGACAUAUAUGGUUCACUAAAGUAGUUUGUCCCAGUGGACUAGACACUUCUAUCAUAACUUUAGACAAUUCAGACUCUAAUUUUUUUGUCUCAACUACUUUCGUAUUAACAUAUAAAUGUAAUGACCCAGGGUCUAUUAAAGCAUAAACGGGUUCUGAAUUCAAUAAGAAUAUACCUAUCACCACAUCUUGAGCAUCUUUCUCUUCUCGAGUCCUCACAACAUACGCUCGAGCUGGAGCUCUAGCUUCAGAUUGUUGUGUAGCACUCUCACUAGUUCUUCUAGUACCACCUCUAGCAAACGAACUACUUCGGCCUGAUCCUCGGCCUCUGGAAGCAAAUUCAGAUCUUUGCACUACUAUCGGUGUUGUUCCAGAUAUCUUUGGGCAAUCUUUAAUAAAGUGAUCGGUAGCUCCACAACGGAAACAACCUCCAGUCAACUUUCUACAUUCCUCUUUGUGUCGAUUUCUACAAUGUUCACAUAUUGGAAUUUCAGUAUUCUGAACUGGACUUCGGAUACUGCCAGUAGAUACAGUAGUCUGUCUUUUCCGACCUCGAUCACUUCUUUCCAAUCGAGAACUAAAUCUCCAAUUACCUCGUGAUUCCUUUGACCGCUUAGGCUGCGGACUUGAACUAACCAUUCCGGGACGUUUUUCAGUUGAACGAGCAACUUCAGACUUUUUAUCCCUUCCGAGAAUUUAUUUAAUCAUCUUAGCUCUUUCCAUUAAAUCCGCAAACUCAGUGAUUCUAAGAGGCAUCAACUGUAGUCUAAAUUCAUCACGUAAUCCUCUUAAAAAUCUUUUACAUCGGUCGGCUUCAGCCGGUACAAACUCAGUGGCAUAUCUGCUCAAUCUCAGAAAUUCUCGUUCAUAAUCCACUAUAAGCAUCUCACCUUGUUUCAGUGUUAAGAACUCUUGUCUUUUGUCCUCUAUGUACAUUUCUCCCAAAUACUUAUUUUGGAACUCUUUUUGAAAGAAGUCCCAACUUAUCUGUUCCUCAAGUACAUUCUAAAUCACAGAUUCCCACCAUACUAAAGCUUCCUCUUGCAGUAGUGAGACAACACACACUAAGCUUUCUUGUGGUGUACAUUCAAGUUCCUUCAGAACUCUCUUUGUAGUCUUUAACCAAUUUUCAGCAGUAGUCGAAUCAAUUCUCUUUGCACCCAAAAAUUUUGUAGCUCCAUAUUUUCUCAAUUCUUUAAUUGGAGCUCUUCGGGUAGUAGGGAUAGAGGACGUAGCAAGCAUAGUUCCUACCACUUUUUGAAGGGCAUCGGCGAUUAUUCUAAAGACUUCAGUAUUAUCACUUCCAACAUUCGGUUGAUUUCCUACUGGAUUCACACUUGGAGUUGCAGACUCCGAUUCAUUCACAUUAUACGGUUCAUUAUCUUCACUAUACAUCUCUUGAUCAGUAUCCUCAAUGCUUUUAUCAGACAUUCUUAAUGCUAUAAAACAAAAAUAUUCAACAAACAUAUCAGCAUCCAAUCCCAACUCAAAUUUGACUCAGUAAUGGCAUGUACCUCUAGAUUCACAUUGACAUUCGAUUUUGUCCUAGAACCGACUAAACCUAACUAGCUCUGAUACCAAUCAAUAUUGUAACGUCCCCUACCCGAGACCGUUGCCGGAGUCAAGCAGGAGACAUUACAAAACUUAUCUUAGCACUUAAACAGUUUUCGUAGUAAACUAUCCAUCUGCGUCAUGAUUGCUAAAAAAAUUAUAUCUCGAGUUACGAAACUCGAAAUCUAAUUCCGUAAAUUUUUCCUAAAACUAGACUCACAUAUCUACUUACUAAUUUUUUUCUAGAAUUUUUUGUCAGGCAAAUUAGUACAGUUUAUUAGAAAAAGUCUCCCCUAUUUUAGGGUUCAGCUACUCUGACCCUUGUGCACCACGAAUAAAAUUUCUUCCUGUACAGAAAUACAAUGACUAUGCCAUUUAUUUAAAUUAAAAAUAGACUCAAUAAUGAAUCCAUACAUAUAAAGUUUGAGUCCUAAUUCUUAAUACACAAUUUAUGGUGAAUUUCUAAAGUCAAAACAGGGAAUCUAGAAAUUACUCUAACCCUGUUUCACCAAAACGUAAAUAUCUCAUAAAAUAAAACUCUUUUACCUAUUUUGUUUCUUCCAUAUAAAAAUAGAUUCAUUAAGCUUCAAUUACAUAUUUUAUUCAUCAUCUAAUUCACUUUAUACUAUUUUUGGUAUAUUUUCAAAGUUGGACUACUGUUACUGUCUAAAUAUGUUUUAGUAUAAAAUGUUGAUAACUAAGUUUAUAACAUCUUCAUUUCUUCUCUCUACAAUAUUUACUAACACUUCCUCUUAUUACUCUUCACUAACAUAUCAAAACAUACCAUACUUAAGGUUUUGGUAACAUUUACAAAACAUACCAAAAUAUCACUUAACAACUUAGAUACUUUCAAAAUGAUCAAAAGACAUCCUAGGUACAAUUCCAUUUUCCAAAAAGAUAGAAACUUCACCAAUUUGAGUUCGGGGAUCGGCUUGUAUGCUGAGUCCUUAUACUUUCGUACCUAGCCUGCGCAUGGAAACAAACCGUACGCUGAGAAUACUCUCAGUGGUAUUUCUAUA
rnacentral:lncRNA from 1 species